rnacentral:rRNA from 1 species
GAAGUCGUAACAAGGUAACCGUAGGUCUUAACGGGGAACCGUGAAGCUUGGUGCUUGCACCCGGGUGGAUGAAUGGCGGACGGGUGAAUAAUACGUGAGUAACCUGCCCUUGACUCUGGGAUAAGCCUGGGAAACUGGGUCUAAUACUGGAUACGACAUGUCACCGCAUGGUGGUGUGUGGAAAGGGUUUUACUGGUUUUGGAUGGGCUCACGGCCUAUCAGCUUGUUGGUGGGGUAAUGGCUCACCAAGGCGACGACGGGUAGCCGGCCUGAGAGGGUGACCGGCCACACUGGGACUGAGACACGGCACAGACUCCUACGGGAGGCAGCAGUGGGGAAUAUUGCACAAUGGGCGAAAGCCUGAUGCAGCGACGCCGCGUGAGGGAUGACGGCCUUCGGGUUGUAAACCUCUUUCAGCACGGAAGAAGCGAAAGUGACGGUACGUGCAGAAGAAGCGCCGGCUAACUACGUGCCAGCAGCCGCGGUAAUACGUAGGGCGCAAGCGUUGUCCGGAAUUAUUGGGCGUAAAGAGCUCGUAGGCGGUUUGUCGCGUCUGCUGUGAAAGCCCGGGGCUUAACCCCGGGUGUGCAGUGGGUACGGGCAAACUUUGAAUUGCAUAGGGGAGACUGAAAUUCCUGGUGUAGCGGUGAAA